CCUCUCUCAGGAUCACACCUGGAGAGUUUCCAGUACUUUACCAGUCUCGGCUAUGGGAGGAAGGGUCAAGCAGAGGCCUACCCAUUUAAUUCCUAGCUUGGGCACUGGCUAGUGAGUGGAAGGCAAUCUGCUAUAAGU